rnacentral:rRNA from 1 species
UAUUGCACAAUGGGGGAAACCCUGAUGCAGCAACGCCGCGUGAGUGAAGAAGUAUUUCGGUAUGUAAAGCUCUAUCAGCAGGGAAGAAGAAAGACGGUACCUGACUAAGAAGCCCCGGCUAACUACGUGCCAGCAGCCGCGGUAAUACGUAGGGAGCAAGCGUUAUCCGGAAUUAUUGGGUGUAAAGGGUGCGUAGACGGGAUAACAAGUUGGUUGUGAAACCCCUCGGCUCAACUGAGGAACUGCAACCAAAACUAUUAUUCUUGAGUGCAGGAGAGGAAAGUGGAAUUCCUAGUGUAGCGGUGAAAUGCGUAGAUAUUAGGAAGAACACCGGUGGCGAAGGCGACUUUCUGGACUGUAACUGACGUUGAGGCACGAAAGCGUGGGUAUCGAACAGG